UCAGCCAUCCGUCAAUCGUCAUCUUAUCGUUAAGUGCUGCGAACCGUGAUCCCUGGUCGCGACAGGUAAGCCUCAUCCCGUCAGACACAAAACCCAGGGCUACUUCAAACGCGACAUAAGUCACCGCUUCAAUCGCAACCGUUGAUGUGCCCGGCAAGUGGUGCGUGGUAAGGUCCGUCGGCUUCUCUGUGUGAGCCGCGACUUAGGUUUGUCAGAAAGGUCCUGUUUUGACUCGUGCCGGUGAGUUCUCCUUUGAUUGCGUUUAGCCGCAGAUGGGAGAGGCGUUCCGAAUCCCCCGCUAUCCUCUCCGCCUUCCAGCCGUCAAUCGGGUGGCUCAUGGAAGCUCCCUCUUAUGCAGAAAUGUCAUCUGCGUGGAGGUCUUGAAUUGGAUGCCUGUAUCUUUUUGUUUAUCUCACAAAACUAAGCUAUACAAACCACUGAGCUCUUGAGAACGUCCAAAAAAAAGAAAUUGAUCUUUUUACAGCUUGACAGUUCCUCCCAAAAAGAAAAGCUUCCUCAUCCAUAUUGAAAGUCGAUUCAGAUGUUGAUUGAUUUAUAAGAGUUAUUAAUUUGAGUUUGAGCAUUUUUAACUGUGCACGUUGUAGAUGGAUGUAUCAAAGUUUUGUACACGGAUGUAUAAACUUUGAUAGUGUUCAUUCACACAGUGUUUGAGGGAUACUGUGGGGAAAAUAAUAUCUCAACAUCUAAAUUGGAGAUAUAGUCAACAUAAAAUAAAAGAAAGAUAAAAUCGAUCGGAUUGCUACUCUGCCAAGAUGACGUUUCCACCAUUUUUAUUGGACCAGAGCAAGACCACAUCAUCUAAUUCAAGAUUUCUAGUUGCAUCUGGAAGCUUCUUCGCCCUUUGGCAGCGAGAACAGAUGUGUGGUAGCAAACCUCGGAGACACUGCGACCACCGAAAUCGACACAAGAUCCAACGAGUAUCUCACUCUAAGUUGUGGAUGAUGGACUGCCAGACGCUGGAACUCAUCCGCCACCUGAAACUUCAGUAGCCAAUCAAAACCAAGAUAAAGAUUUCCAUGGAUAAGGACUCCCAUCCCCUCUUCUGCUAUUAAACCCCUGCAGCCAUCACCUCUCACAGCAGGCACUCCUCCAAGGCUUUUCCUUCUACUUCACCACCCUCUCCCUGAUCCAACCAUGGCUGCCACAAUGGCCCUCUCCUCCCCCUCCCUCGCUGGUAAGGCCGUCAAGCUCGCUCCCUCGGCCUCCGACAUCCUCGGCGAAGGCCGCAUCACCAUGCGCAAGAGUGCCGCCAGGUCCAAGCCCGUCUCCUCCGGCAGCCCCUGGUACGGCCCCGACCGCGUCAAGUACCUCGGCCCCUUCUCCGGCGAGCCCCCCUCCUACCUGACCGGUGAGUUCCCUGGCGACUACGGCUGGGACACCGCCGGCCUCUCCGCCGACCCCGAGACCUUCGCCAAGAACCGGGAGCUGGAGGUCAUCCACUGCCGCUGGGCCAUGCUCGGCGCCCUCGGCUGCGUCUUCCCCGAGCUCCUCGCCCGCAACGGCGUCAAGUUCGGCGAGGCCGUCUGGUUCAAGGCCGGCGCGCAGAUCUUUAGCGAGGGCGGCUUGGACUACCUCGGCAACCCCAGCCUGAUCCACGCCCAGAGCAUCCUCGCCAUCUGGGCCUGCCAGGUCAUUCUGAUGGGCGCCGUCGAGGGCUACCGUAUCGCCGGUGGCCCGCUCGGCGAGGUGACCGACCCCCUCUACCCCGGCGGCAGCUUCGACCCCCUCGGCCUCGCCGACGACCCGGAGGCGUUCGCAGAGCUCAAGGUGAAGGAGAUCAAGAACGGAAGGCUGGCCAUGUUCUCCAUGUUCGGGUUCUUCGUGCAGGCCAUCGUCACAGGGAAGGGGCCGCUGGAGAACCUGGCGGACCAC
rnacentral:lncRNA from 1 species